rnacentral:lncRNA from 1 species
UGAUGGUGAAGGAGGUGGGGGAGACUUAUAUUCAUAAGAUGGAGACUUGUGCUCAUAGGGUGGAGGUGGUGGAGAUUUGUAAAUGUAAGAUGGUGGAGGUGACGGUGAGGGAGGCGGUGGUGACUUGUAAAUGUAAGGUGGUGGUGGUGAUGGUGAUGGUGGUGGGGGUGACUUGUACUGGUAAGAUGGAGCCUUGUGCUCAUAUGGUGGUGGAGGUGACGGUGAUGGAGGUGGUGGUGACUUGUAAAUGUAAGGUGGUGGAGGUGAUGGUGAUGGAGGUGGGGGUGACUUGUACUGGUAAGAUGGUGCCUUGUGCUCAUAUGGAGGCGGUGGUGACGGUGAUGGAGGCGGUGGUGACUUGUACACAUAAG